AAAGAUAAAUGCCCUUCUUGCCAACUCCAUGCUGCACUCUCUGAAAAUGCAAGGUCUGUUACUAGAGCUUUCCCCCAUAGAUACUUUGUUCUCACCACCCCCACCACCACCCCCAAUCUCUUCAAGGGCUCUGCAAAAAAUCCACGGCUACAUAAAGCUCUAACCUUGGCAAUAUACAGCAAAUGUGUUUUAUGGGAGGGAAAGCAACAAAAGGCUUCAAAAUGAACUCUAAGCUUCACAUGCACAAUCUGUCUGCACCUGAGCCUCUAUCAUCAUCCCUGGGAACACCAGCACCACAUACCACCUACCUACCAUUUCCUCUAAACUGGGAUGCUAAUGACUAUGGGAAAAUAAUUGUAUGCAGCAUAUAUCCUCAUUAUGAAAUUACACUAGCCUCAAUAUGUAAUAAGUGGAUGUGUAACCUCAGAAAUAAAGUUACUAUAAUAUA